UACGUAGGGUGCGAGCGUUGUCCGGAAUUAUUGGGCGUAAAGGGCUCGUAGGCGGUUCGUCACGUCGGGAGUGAAAACUCGGGGCUUAACCCCGAGCCUGCUUCCGAUACGGGCAGACUAGAGGUAGGCAGGGGAGAGCGGAACUCCUGGUGUAGCGGUGGAAUGCGCAGAUAUCAGGAAGAACACCGGUGGCAAAGGCGGCUCUCUGGGCCUUACCUGACGCUGAGGAGCGAAAGCGUGGGUAGCGAACAGG
rnacentral:rRNA from 1 species